GACGAACGCUGGCGGCGUGCUUAACACAUGCAAGUCGAACGGUAAGGCCUUGCUUUUGUGGGGUGCUCGAGUGGCGAACGGGUGAGUAACACGUGAGUAACCUGCCCUUGACUUUGGGGUAACUUCAGGAAACUGGGGCUAAUACCGGAUAUGAGCUCCUGCUGCAUGGUGGUGGUUGGAAAGUUUCGGCGGUUUGGGAUGGACUCGCGGCUUAUCAGCUUGUUGGUGGGGUAGUGGCUUACCAAGGCUUUGACGGGUAGCUGGCCUGGGAGGGUGACCGGCCACAAUGGGCCUGGGGUACGGCCCAGACGCCAACGGGGGGCAGCGGUGGAGAACAUUGCACAAUGGGCGGAAGCCUGAUACAGCGACGUCGCGUGCGGGAUGACUGCCUGCGGGUUGUAAACCGCUUUCGCCUGUGACGAAGCGUGAGUGACGGUAACGGGUAAAGAAGCACCGGCUAACUACGUG
rnacentral:rRNA from 1 species